rnacentral:rRNA from 1 species
AAACCGUUCAGGGGUAAACCUGAGAAACCCAAAAGAUCGAAUGGGGAGAUUCAUCGUCAGCUCAUUUUGUAUAUAUAUUAGUUAUGAUAUGGGUUACUACUUGUAGUAUUGCCUAUACAUUCUUGUAUAUUUAAUUGCAAAGUGUUGUCGGCGUGCACUUCUCCCCUAGUAGGACGUCGCGACCCGUUGAGUGUCGGUCUACGGCCCAAGUGGUAGCCUUUGAUUUUUUAAAUUAAAGACCCUUGGUGUUUCCUGGCUGGCUACUCGGCGGUAUUCGUACGGUAUUAAGCCGCAUUUAUGCGUUCAUAUCCGUCGCAAGCGCGGUUAAUUUUUAGUAGUACGGACCUAGUGCCGUCGCUAUAAUUGAUCAGCUGUUGGUUGUACGGUAUUCUAGAACUGGCUUUCAUACCGGUCAGCGAUGCUUCAGCUUUGGGUACUUUCAGGA